rnacentral:tRNA from 1 species
UAGCUCAGUGGGAGAGUACUUGCCUUAAAUGCAUGGGACUCUGGGUUGAAUUCCCAG